rnacentral:rRNA from 1 species
GGUUAAGCGAGUAAGCGUACACGGUGGAUGCCCUGGCAGUCAGAGGCGAUGAAGGACGUGCUAAUCUGCGAUAAGCGUCGGUAAGGUGAUAUGAACCGUUAUAACCGGCGAUUUCCGAAUGGGGAAACCCAGUGUGUUUCGACACACUAUCAUUAACUGAAUCCAUAGGUUAAUGAGGCGAACCGGGGGAACUGAAACAUCUAAGUACCCCGAGGAAAAGAAAUCAACCGAGAUUCCCCCAGUAGCGGCGAGCGAACGGGGAGCAGCCCAGAGCCUGAAUCAGUGUGUGUGUUAGUGGAAGCGUCUGGAAAGGCGCGCGAUACAGGGUGACAGCCCCGUACACAAAAAUGCACAUACUGUGAGCUCGAUGAGUAGGGCGGGACACGUGGUAUCCUGUCUGAAUAUGGGGGUACCAUCCUCCAAGGCUAAAUACUCCUGACUGACCGAUAGUGAACCAGUACCGUGAGGGAAAGGCGAAAAGAACCCCGGCGAGGGGAGUGAAAAAGAACCUGAAACCGUGUACGUACAAGCAGUGGGAGCCUCUUAAUGGGGUGACUGCGUACCUUUUGUAUAAUGGGUCAGCGACUUAUAUUCUGUAGCAAGGUUAACCGAAUAGGGGAGCCGAAGGGAAACCGAGUCUUAACUGGGCGUUAAGUUGCAGGGUAUAGACCCGAAACCCGGUGAUCUAGCCAUGGGCAGGUUGAAGGUUGGGUAACACUAACUGGAGGACCGAACCGACUAAUGUUGAAAAAUUAGCGGAUGACUUGUGGCUGGGGGUGAAAGGCCAAUCAAACCGGGAGAUAGCUGGUUCUCCCCGAAAGCUAUUUAGGUAGCGCCUCGUGAAUUCAUCUCCGGGGGUAGAGCACUGUUUCGGCAAGGGGGUCAUCCCGACUUACCAACCCGAUGCAAACUGCGAAUACCGGAGAAUGUUAUCACGGGAGACACACGGCGGGUGCUAACGUCCGUCGUGAAGAGGGAAACAACCCAGACCGCCAGCUAAGGUCCCAAAGUCAUGGUUAAGUGGGAAACGAUGUGGGAAGGCCCAGACAGCCAGGAUGUUGGCUUAGAAGCAGCCAUCAUUUAAAGAAAGCGUAAUAGCUCACUGGUCGAGUCGGCCUGCGCGGAAGAUGUAACGGGGCUAAACCAUG